CCUACGGGAGGCAGCAGUGAGGAAUAUUGGUCAAUGGACGAGAGUCUGAACCAGCCAAGUAGCGGGAAGGAUGACUGCCCUAUGGGUUGUAAACUUCUUUUAUAUGGGAAUAAACUGUUCCACGUGUGGGAUUUUGUAUGUACCAUAUGAAUAAGGAUCGGCUAAAUCCGUGCCAGCAGCCGCGGUAAUACGGAGGAUCCGAGCGUUAUCCGGAUUUCUUGGGUUUAAAGGGAGCGUAGGUGGAUUGUUAAGUCAGUUGUGAAAGUUUGCGGCUCAACCGUAAAAUUGCAGUUGACACUGGCAGUCUUGAGUACAGGAGAGGUGGGCGGAAUGCGUGGGGUAGCGGUGAAAUGCUUAGAUAUCACGAAGAACUCCGAUUGCGAAGGCAGCUCACUGGACUGCAACUGACACUGAGGCUCGAAAGUGUGGGUAUCAAACAGGAUUAGAUACCCCUGUAGUC
rnacentral:rRNA from 1 species